UACGUAGGGUGCAAGCGUUGUUCGGAAUCACUGGGCGUAAAGCGCACGUAGGCGGAUGUGUCAGUCAGGGGUGAAAUCCCGGGGCUCAACCUCGGAACUGCCUUUGAUACAGCACGUCUUGAGUCCGAUAGAGGUGGGUGGAAUUCCUAGUGUAGAGGUGAAAUUCGUAGAUAUUAGGAAGAACACCGGUGGCGAAGGCGGCCCACUGGAUCGGUACUGACGCUGAGGUGCGAAAGCGUGGGGAGCAAACAGG
rnacentral:rRNA from 1 species